GACUCGAAAUGAAUUGCCGUCAG
rnacentral:siRNA from 1 species